UACAGAGGGGGCAAGCGUUGUUCGGAAUUACUGGGCGUAAAGGGCGCGUAGGCGGCCUGCUAAGUCGAACGUGAAAUCCCUGGGCUCAACCCAGGAACUGCGUCCGAUACUGGUUGGCUUGAAUCCGGGAGAGGGACGUGUAAUUCCAGGUGUAGCGGUGAAAUGCGUAGAUAUCUGGAGGAACACCGGUGGCGAAGGCGACGUCCUGGACCGGCAUUGACGCUGAGGCGCGAAAGCCAGGGGAGCAAACGGG
rnacentral:rRNA from 1 species